UAUUAAAGUUCCGGCGGAUAAAGAUGGGCAUGCGUGACAUUAGUUAGUUGGUGAGGUAACGGCUCGCCAAGGCAACGAUGUCUAGGGGUUCUGAGAGGAUUGUCCCCCACACUGGUGCUGAGACACGGACCAGACUCCUACGGGAGGCAGCAGUGAGGAAUAUUGGUCAAUGGGUGAGAGCCUGAACCAGCCAUGCCGCGUGCAGGAAGACUGUUCUAUGAAUUGUAAACUGCUUUUCUACAGGAAGAAAUCAUGCUACGUGUAGUGUGUUGCCGGUACUGUAGGAAUAAGCACCGGCUAACUCCGUGCCAGCAGCCGCGGUAAUACGGAGGGUGCAAGCGUUAUCUGGAUUUAUUGGGUUUAAAGGGUGCGUAGGCGGAAUAGUAAGUCAGUGGUGAAAUCCUGCGGCUCAACCGUAGAACUGCCAUUGAUACUGUUAUUCUUGAAUGUAGUUGAGGUAGGCGGAAUGUGUAAUGUAGCGGUGAAAUGCUUAGAUAUUACACAGAACACCGAUUGCGAAGGCAGCUUGCUAAGCUACGAUUGACGCUGAUGGCACGAAAGCGUGGGGAGCGAACAGGAUUAGAUACCCUGGUAGUCCACGCUGUAAACUAUGAUCACUCGUUGUUUGCGAUAUACAGUAAGCGACUGAGCGAAAGCAUUAAGUGAUCCACCUGGGGAGUACGUUGGCAACAAUGAAACUCAAAGGAAUUGACGGGGGCCCGCACAAGCGGAGGAACAUGUGGUUUAAUUCGAUGAUACGCGAGGAACCUUACCUGGGUUUAAAUGUAGGUUGCAUAGAGGGGAAACUCUCUUUUCCUUCGGGACUACCUACAAGGUGCUGCAUGGUUGUCGUCAGCUCGUGCCGUGAGGUGUCGGGUUAAGUCCCAUAACGAGCGCAACCCUUAUCGUUAGUUGCCAUCAGGUCAUGCUGGGGACUCUAACGAGACUGCCGGUGUAAACCGUGAGGAAGGUGGGGAUGACGUCAAAUCAGCACGGCCCUUAUAUCCAGGGCUACACACGUGUUACAAUGGUCGGUACAAAGAGCAGCCACUUGGCGACAAGGCGCUAAUCUCGAAAGCCGAUCACAGUUCGGAUCGGAGUCUGCAACUCGACUUCGUGAAGUUGGAUUCGCUAGUAAUCGCGCAUCAGCCACGGCGCGGUGAAUACGUUCCCGGGCCUUGUACACACCGCCCGUCAAGCCAUGGAAGCUGGGGGUGCCUGAAGUCCGUAA
rnacentral:rRNA from 1 species